GGUGGCUCAGUGGCAGAGCACUUGCCUUGCAUGCAUGAGGCCCCUGGGUUCGAUUCCUUAGCACCA
rnacentral:tRNA from 1 species